UAGGGAAUCUUCGGCAAUGGGGGGAACCCUGACCGAGCAACGCCGCGUGAGUGAAGAAGGUUUUCGGAUCGUAAAGCUCUGUUGUUAAGGAAGAACGAGUGUGAGAAUGGAAAGUUCAUACUGUGACGGUACUUAACCAGAAAGGGACGGCUAACUACGUGCCAGCAGCCGCGGUAAUACGUAGGUGGCAAGCGUUGUCCGGACUUAUUGGGCGUAAAGCGAGCGCAGGCGGUCAAUUAAGUCUGAUGUGGAAGCCCCCGGCUCAACCGGGGAUGUUCAUUGGAAACUGGUUGACUUGAAUGCAGAAGAGGAGAGUGGAAUUCCAUGUGUAGCGGUGAAAUGCGUAGAUAUAUGGAGGAACACCAGUGGCGAAGGCGACUCUCUGGUCUGUAACUAACGCUGAGGUUCGAAAGCGUGGGUAGCAAACAGG
rnacentral:rRNA from 1 species